AUUGAACGCUGGCGGCAUGCCUUACACAUGCAAGUCGAACGGCAGCACGGGGCAACCCUGGUGGCGAGUGGCGAACGGGUGAGUAAUACAUCGGAACGUGCCCUGAAGUGGGGGAUAACGUAGCGAAAGUUACGCUAAUACCGCAUAUUCUGUGAGCAGGAAAGAGGGGGAUCGCAAGACCGCUUGCUUUAGGAGCGGCCGAUGUCGGAUUAGCUAGUUGGUGAGGUAAAGGCUCACCAAGGCGACGAUCCGUAGCGGGGCUGAGGGGAUGAUCCGCGACACUGGGACUGGGACGCGGCCCAGACUCCUACGGGAGGCAGCAGUGGGGAAUUUUGGACAAUGGGCGCAAGCCUGAUCCAGCCAUGCCGCGUGAGUGAAGAAGGCCUUCGGGUUGUAAAGCUCUUUCGGCCGGGAAAAAAUCGCAUGGAUUAAUACUCUGUGUGGAUGAUGGUACCGGAAUAAGAAGCACCGGCUAACUACGUGCCAGCAGCCGCGGUAAAAC
rnacentral:rRNA from 1 species